AGUGAUCAACAAAUAAUAGGGCUGAAACGGUAUACCGCGGUAUUUUGUUUUCGGUUCGGUACACCGAAAUUCACUUUGAAAAUACGGUACGUUCGGUUUUCGUACC